CUUUCUACACAGGUUGGGAUCAGUUGCAAUGCUGUGUCUGUCUGUAGUAUUGCACUUGUCCCGGCCUGUUGAGUUUGG
rnacentral:pre_miRNA from 15 species